rnacentral:rRNA from 1 species
AUCAACGCUGGCGGCGUGCCUCAGACAUGCAAGUCGAACGCGAAAGUUUCCUUCGGGAGACAAGUAGAGUGGCGCACGGGUGAGUAACACGUAGGUAAUCUACCUUCGGAUGGGGAAUAACAGUCGGAAACGGCUGCUAAUACCGCAUAAUGCAGCGGCACCUAAUGGUGACAGUUGUUAAAGCGGGGGAUCGAAAGACCUCGCGUCUGAAGAGGAGCCUGCGGCGGAUUAGCUAGUUGGUAAGGUAAUGGCUUACCAAGGCUACGAUCCGUAACCGGCCUGAGAGGGCGGUCGGUCACACUGACACUGACAUACGGGUCAGACUCCUACGGGAGGCAGCAGUCGGGAAUUUUGGGCAAUGGGCGAAAGCCUGACCCAGCAACGCCGCGUGAAGGAUGAAAUCCCUCGGGAUGUAAACUUCGCAAGAACGGGAAGAAUAAGUAGGGGACAAUACCCCCUAUGAUGACGGUACCGUUUGUAAGCUCCGGCUAACUCCGUGCCAGCAGCCGCGGUAAUACGGGGGGAGCAAGCGUUGUUCGGAUUUACUGGGCGUAAAGGGCGCGUAGGCGGUCAGCACAAGUCAGUUGUGAAAUCUCCGAGCUUAACUCGGAAAGGUCAACUGAUACUGUGCGACUAGAGUGCGGAAGGGGCAACUGGAAUUCUUGGUGUAGCGGUGAAAUGCGUAGAUAUCAAGAGGAACACCUGCGGCGAAGGCGGGUUGCUGGGCCGACACUGACGCUGAGGCGCGAAAGCCAG